rnacentral:rRNA from 1 species
GCUCUACGGGACGCAGCAGUGAGGAAUAUUGGUCAAUGGGCUUACGCCUGAACCAGCCAAGUCGCGUGAGGGAAGACUGCCCUAUGGGUUGUAAACCUCUUUUGUCAGGGAGCAACGCCGGCUACGUGUAGCCGGACUGAGAGUACCUGAAGAAAAAGCAUCGGCUAACUCCGUGCCAGCAGCCGCGGUGAUACGGAGGAUGCGAGCGUUAUCCGGAUUUAUUGGGUUUAAAGGGUGCGUAGGCGGAAUGCCAAGUCAGCGGUAAAAAUGCGGAGCUCAACUCCGUCGAGCCGUUGAAACUGCCG